ACGGGUGAGUAAUGCUUGGGAAUCUAGCUUAUGGAGGGGGAUAACUACGGGAAACUGUAGCUAAUACCGCGUAGAAUCGAGAGAUGAAAGUGUGGGACCUUCGGGCCACAUGCCAUAGGAUGAGCCCAAGUGGGAUUAGCUAGUUGGUGGGGUAAAGGCCUACCAAGGCGACGAUCAGUAGCGGGUCUGAGAGGACGAUCCGCCACGCUGGGACUGAGACACGGCCCAGACUCCUACGGGAGGCAGCAGUGGGGAAUUUUGGACAAUGGGGGCAACCCUGAUCCAGCCAUGCCGCGUGUAUGAAGAAGGCCUUCGGGUUGUAAAGUACUUUUGUUAGGGAAGAAAAGGGAAGUGCUAAUACCACUUUUUGCUGACGGUACCUAAAGAAUAAGCACCGGCUAACUACGUGCCAGCAGCCGCGGUAAUACGUAGGGUGCGAGCGUUAAUCGGAAUUACUGGGCGUAAAGCGGGCGCAGACGGUUACUUAAGCAGGAUGUGAAAUCCCCGGGCUCAACCCGGGAAUUGCGUUCUGAACUGGGUGGCUAGAGUGUGUCAGAGGGGGGUAGAAUUCCACGUGUAGCAGUGAAAUGCGUAGAGAUGUGGAGGAAUACCGAUGGCGAAGGCAGCCCCCUGGGAUGGCACUGACGUUCAUGCCCGAAAGCGUGGGUAGCAAACAGGAUUAGAUACCCUGGUAGUCCACGCCCUAAACG
rnacentral:rRNA from 1 species